rnacentral:rRNA from 1 species
UACGUAGGGGGCUAGCGUUGUCCGGAAUUAUUGGGCGUAAAGAGCUCGUAGGCGGUUUGUUGCGUCGGCUGUGAAAUCCCGAGGCUCAACCUCGGGUCUGCAGUCGAUACGAGCAAACUAGAGUGUUGCAGGGGAGACUGGAAUUCCUGGUGUAGCGGUGAAAUGCGCAGAUAUCAGGAGGAACACCGGUGGCGAAGGCGGGUCUCUGGGCAACAACUGACGCUGGAGGAGCGAAAGCCGUGGGGAGCGAACAGG